CCUACGGGAGGCUGCAGUGGGGAAUAUUGGACAAUGGGGGCAACCCUGAUCCAGCCAUGCCGCGUGUGUGAAGAAGGCCCUCGGGUUGUAAAGCACUUUCAGUGAGGAAGAACGCCUGGUGGUUAAUACCCAUCAGGAAAGACAUCACUCACAGAAGAAGCACCGGCUAACUCCGUGCCAGCAGCCGCGGUAAUACGGAGGGUGCGAGCGUUAAUCGGAAUUACUGGGCGUAAAGCGCGCGUAGGUGGCUUGAUAAGCCGGUUGUGAAAGCCCCGGGCUCAACCUGGGAACGGCAUCCGGAACUGUCAAGCUAGAGUGCAGGAGAGGAAGGUAGAGUUCCCGGUGUAGCGGUGAAAUGCGUAGAGAUCGGGAGGAAUACCAGUGGCGAAGGCGGCCUUCUGGACUGACACUGACACUGAGGUGCGAAAGCGUGGGUAGCAAACAGGAUUAGAUACCCCGGUAGUC
rnacentral:rRNA from 1 species